CCUACGGGAGGCAGCAAUUAGGAAUUAUGCGCAAUGGACGAAAGUCUGACGCUGCAAUACCGCGUGGUGGAUGAAGGUUUUCGGAUCGUAAACACCUUUUAUAGCUGAACAAGUUCUGAGUGUAAGCUAUGAAUAAGCAUCUCCUAACUACGUGCCAGAAGGAUCGGUGAUACGUAGGAUGCAAGCGUUAUCCGGAUUUACUGGGCGUAAAGAGACGCGUAGGCGACUGUGUAAGUCUUUGGUUAAAGCUUCCAGCUUAACUGGAAAAUCGCCAUAGAAACUACACAGAUUGAGAAAGACAGAGGAAAAGGGAAUUCCUGGUGGAGCGGUGAAAUGUGUUGAUAUCAGGAGGAACACCAAUGGCGAAGGCACUUUUCUGGGUCUUUUCUGACGCUAAGGCUCGAAAGCGUGGGGAGCAAAACGGAUUAGAUACCCGGGUA
rnacentral:rRNA from 1 species